CUGCAACACAGCUGGGAGACCCACGUCUCACUUCCUUGAUAGCCUACGGUCUGCAGUUCAUUUUGCCAAGCCAAAAGGUGACUUAAAGAGGGAAAAAUAACCAUAACUACAUCCUCAAAGGAACCAGACCAGACCGGCUAUCUGAUGUUUGGGAUCCUGCUGCUCAGAAUCAUUUCUCUGGACCUAAAGCUCAAUUUCUUUUGAGUUUCUGGCUGCUGGUCAGAGUGGACGGGCCAGAGUAUCCCAGGAUGGACCGCGGCUGUUGUGUCUCUGGGCCUUGCUGGAAGGGGAGAAUCUGGGAGCCGCCCAAAGAAGCUGCUAUGAUGUAAGCCUUCCAAAUGUAGCUUUGCA
rnacentral:lncRNA from 1 species